rnacentral:rRNA from 1 species
UACAGAGGGUGCGAGCGUUAAUCGGAAUUACUGGGCGUAAAGCGUGCGUAGACGGUUAUCUAAGUCGGAUGUGAAAGCCCCGGGCUCAACCUGGGAAUUGCAUUCGAGACUGAAUAGCUAGGGUACGGUAGAGGGAAGUGGAAUUUCCGGUGUAGCGGUGAAAUGCGUAGAGAUCGGGAGGAACACCAGUGGCGAAGGCGGCUACCUGGACCAGCACUGACACUGAGGCACGAAAGCGUGGGGAGCAAACAGG